GCAGUCGUGGCCGAAUGGUUAAAGCGAUGGAUUAGAAAUCCAUUGGGGUUUCCCCGCACAGGUUCAAACCAUGUCGAAUGCG
rfam:Ixodes scapularis strain Wikel colony gcontig_1107728726048, whole genome shotgun sequence.